UGCAUCAACGUGAUGCCCACAGGUAAUCUCGAGAAAAUAAACUAACCGGAUUAUGAGCUAAAGAAUCAUGUGGGUUUUUCUCCUGCUAGGAUCUCAACAGCUGUUCCAGGACAAACAUUGCCCAAUAAGACUGCCCCCAUCACAGGAUGAAUCUAAAGGACUUAAUUGUGUUUCUUGAGUAUGAUGAAGGGCUGUCCUGAGUCCUGUCGACAGUCAGGGGAUGUUGCACUGAUCAGACCAGGGCUGCUCUUUUUCCGGAUGAAUAGUGAAAUUUGACUCCUUAUUGCCUGCUUCAUCCGAACACAUCACAGAGCAAUUGCCAACAAGCAGUUCUUCUGGAUAAUGUCCUGGGCCUCAUUUUCCAUAUUAGAACACACGGGAUGCUAAAAUCAAAAAGGUAUGUAACUGAGGUUGUGCCUAUCAGCCCCAUCCCAUGCCGCUGUCGUGAUAAUGACAGUGACUAGGUUGCUAGUCUCUAAGCAGUGUCCAGUCUUCUUUGAAACUCACCCAAGAAGAGGUGUCCACAUCUUUCCCCAGACUCCUGAAGAAUGCGGGCCUGGCUGCAACAGACCAAGGGGGGCUAAACGGUUUUGAAAGUAGCUGCUGCUGUUAUUUAGUUAGGUCAAGGAGGAUUGUAGUUUGCAAAAAUGGGCAAAAUAUGCACUCCAAGGAUAUGUAGAGCAUAAUCUAGCCUGGUCUCCCCGACCACAGUAAUUUUGCUGCUGCAGGCAAAAUGCUUUCCUGGUGUAGGUCUGAGUUGACAGAUUACCGAGGGAAAUUUUUGUCUUGCCCACACUCCCAGAUUAUUCAGCUCUCUUUUUAAUACACCACUCGGCCCUCCUCCACACAGAUUGUGUGGUGUAGACCUGGCAUCCUUAACUGAAUAAUCUCUUCGCUGACAGCUGAAAAGUAAAGGCAUCUGUGACAAUCAGAUGGGGUGCCUCAGGUUGGUUCCAGAUGUCAAGUUGAUUAAUGUCGGAGUCAGGGCUGCCAGCAGAUCCCCAGGAAACAACCCUGGUGGCUGUAGCAUCAGUGGGUAGAGACAUAUGCACAGAUACUGAACAGAUGCCAGUCCUUCUGUAUCAGUUUAAUAGAAUGCCCGGAAAAUUGUGUACUUCCCCCAGGACGUAAACCCCGAUACGUGAAUGUUUUCAGCCAUUUUUCACGUUUCCUAACGCAGGGAGUUUGUUCCACUAAAUUAACGUCAGU